UCGUCAUCGUAGGGUUAGUCGGGACCUAAGUCGAGUCCGAAAGGGGUAGACGAUGGCAAAUCGGUUAAUAUUCCGAUACCGACGGUUGUUUGUUUGAAUGAUGGGGGGACGUAUAGAGUUAAUCGAGCUCACUGAUGGAAUAGUGGGUCGAAGGGUGUAGGUUGUAUCUUAGGCAAAUCCGGGAUACAUGAGACCGAGAUCUUACAGGCUCUUGACGCUCUUCGGAGAGGAAAGAGAAUCGAUGAUACUGUCGUGCCAAGAAAAGCCUCUAAGUGUAUUAUUAGUUGCCCGUACCGUAAACCGACACAGGUGGGUGAGAUGAGUAUUCUAAGGCGCGUGGAAGAACCCUGGUUAAGGAACUCUGCAAACUAGCACCGUAACUUCGGAAUAAGGUGUGCCUCCUUCUGUAUAUGGAUUUACUCCAGAAAGCGGAAGAGGUUGCAACAAAGAGUCCCUCCCGACUGUUUAC
rnacentral:rRNA from 1 species